rnacentral:rRNA from 1 species
GUCGUAACAAGGUCUCCGUAGGUGAACCUGCGGAGGGAUCAUUACACAAAUAUGAAGGCGGGCUGGAACCUCUCGGGGUUACAGCCUUGCUGAAUUAUUCACCCUUGUCUUUUGCGUACUUCUUGUUUCCUUGGUGGGUUCGCCCACCACUAGGACAAACAUAAACCUUUUGUAAUUGCAAUCAGCGUCAGUAACAAAUUAAUAAUUACAACUUUCAACAACGGAUCUCUUGGUUCUGGCAUCGAUGAAGAACGCAGCGAAAUGCGAUAAGUAGUGUGAAUUGCAGAAUUCAGUGAAUCAUCGAAUUUUUGAACGCACAUUGCGCCCUUUGGUAUUCCGAAGGGCAUGCCUGUUCGAGCGUCAUUUGUACCCUCAAGCUUUGCUUGGUGUUGGGCGUCUUGUCUCUAGCUUUGCUGGAGACUCGCCUUAAAGUAAUUGGCAGCCGGCCUACUGGUUUCGGAGCGCAGCACAAGUCGCACUCUCUAUCAGCAAAGGUCUAGCAUCCAUUAAGCCUUUUUUUCAACUUUUGACCUCGGAUCAGGUAGGGAUACCCGCUGAACUUAAGCAUAUCA